rnacentral:rRNA from 1 species
CACGGGGGGAGCAAACGUUGUUCGGAAUCACUGGGCGUAAAGGGCGCGUAGGCGGCCUCGUAAGUGGUGUGUGAAAUGUCCUGGCUCAACCAGGGAAUUGCGCUCCAAACUGCGGGGCUCGAGGGCAGUAGAGGAAGCUGGAAUUCCAGGUGUAGCGGUGAAAUGCGUAGAUAUCUGGAGGAACACCGUUGGCGAAGGCGAGCUUCUGGGCUGUCCCUGACGCUGAUGUGCGAAAGCUGGGGGAGCAAACAGG